rnacentral:rRNA from 1 species
GAUGACUCUGGAUAACCUUUGCCGAUCGUAUGGCCCCGAGCCGACGACGAAUCUUUCAAAUGUCUGCCCUAUCAACUUUCGUUGGUAGGUGAUUUGCCUACCAAGGUGUUUACGGGUAACGGGGGAUCAGGGUUCGAUCCCGGAGAGGGAGCAUGAGAAACGGCUACCACAUCCAAGGAAGGCAGCAGGCGCGCAAAUUACCCACUCUUAGCACGAGGAGGUAGUGACGAAAAAUAACAAUACGGGACUCUUUCGAGGCCCCGUAAUUGGAAUGAGUACACUCUAAACCCGUUAACGAGGAUCUAUUGGAGGGCAAGUCUGGUGCCAGCAGCCGCGGUAAUUCCAGCUCCAAUAGCGUAUAUUAAAGCUGUUGCAGUUAAAAAGCUCGUAGUCGGAUUUCGGGCGGCGGCCAAUGGUUCGGUUCCGUGCCGAUACUGCUGGUCGCGGCCUCCACGCCGGUCGUCCUUCGGUGCUCUUAACUGAGUGCCUUAGGUAGCCGGAGCGUUUACUUUGAAAAAAUUAGAGUGUUCAAGGCAGGCCUCGAGCCUGAAUGAUGGUGCAUGGAAUAAUGGAAUAGGACCUCGGUUCUAUUUUGUUGGUCUUCGGAACUGGAGGUAAUGAUUAAUAGGGACGGACGGGGGCAUUCGUAUUGCGGCGUUAGAGGUGAAAUUCUUGGAUCGUCGCAAGACGGACUACUGCGAAAGCAUUUGCCAAGAAUGUUUUCAUUGAUCAAGAGCGAAAGUCAGAGGAUCGAAGACGAUCAGAUACCGUCCUAGUUCUGACCAUAAACGAUGCCAACUAGCGAUCCGGCUCCGUUGCUUUAUAAGACUGGCCGGGCAGCUCCCGGGAAACCAAAGUCUAUGGGUUCCGGGGGAAGUAUGGUUGCAAAGCUGAAACUUAAAGGAAUUGACGGAAGGGCACCACCAGGAGUGGAGCCUGCGGCUUAAUUUGACUCAACACGGGAAAACUCACCCGGCCCGGACACCGUAAGGAUUGACAGAUUGAAAGCUCUUUCUUGAUUCGGUGGGUGGUGGUGCAUGGCCGUUCUUA